CCUACGGGGGGCAGCAGUGAGGAAUAUUGGUCAAUGGACGAGAGUCUGAACCAGCCAAGUAGCGUGAAGGAUGACUGCCCUAUGGGUUGUAAACUUCUUUUAUAUGGGAAUAAAACGUUCCAAGUGUGGGAUUUUGUAUGUACCAUAUGAAUAAGGAUCGGCUAACUCCGUGCCAGCAGCCGCGGUAAUACGGAGGAUCCGAGCGUUAUCCGGAUUUAUUGGGUUUAAAGGGAGCGUAGGUGGGUUGUUAAGUCAGUUGUGAAAGUUUGCGGCUCAACCGUAAAAGUGCAGUUGAAACUGGCAGUCUUGAGUACAGUAGAGGUGGGCGGAAUUCGUGGUGUAGCGGUGAAAUGCUUAGAUAUCACGAAGAACUCCGAUUGCGAAGGCAGUUCACUGGACUGCAACUGACACUGAGGCUCGAAAGUGUGGGUAUCAAACAGGAUUAGAUACCCGAGUAGUC
rnacentral:rRNA from 1 species